GCGUCUGUAGCUCAACUGGAUAGAGUAUCAGAUUCCGAUUCUGGCGGUUGCAGGUUCGAGCCCUGUCAGGCGCGCCA
rnacentral:tRNA from 1 species